UACGUAGGGCGCAAGCGUUGUCCGGAAUUAUUGGGCGUAAAGAGCUCGUAGGUGGUUUGUCGCGUCUGUCGUGAAAAACCCGCGGCUCAACUGCGGGCCUGCAGCCGAUACGGGCAGGCUAGAGUUCGGUAGGGGAGACUGGAAUUCCUGGUGUAGCGGUGAAAUGCGCAGAUAUCAGGAGGAACACCGGUGGCGAAGGCGGGUCUCUGGGCCGAUACUGACGCUGAGGAGCGAAAGCGUGGGGAGCGAACAGG
rnacentral:rRNA from 1 species